rnacentral:ncRNA from 1 species
CUAUGAUUUAUAUUAAAUCAUGGCGGAAGGAG